rnacentral:rRNA from 1 species
GCACCCCGCCGGCCCCUAAAUACAGUGGCGGCCCGUCCGCGGCGACCUCUGCGCAGUAGUCCAACUCGCACCGGGAACCCGACGCGGCCACGCCGUAAAACACCCAACCUUCCGAACGUUGACCUCGAAUCAGGUAGGACU